CCGAGUGAUACAUAUAAAAGCAUC
rnacentral:siRNA from 1 species